GAUGAACGCUGGCGGCGUGCUUAACACAUGCAAGUCGAACGGUGAAGCAGGAGCUUGCUCUUGUGGAUCAGUGGCGAACGGGUGAGUAACACGUGAGCAACCUGCCCCUGACUCUGGGAUAAGCGCUGGAAACGGCGUCUAAUACUGGAUAUGUGAUGUGACCGCAUGGUCUGCAUCUGGAAAGAAUUUCGGUUGGGGAUGGGCUCGCGGCCUAUCAGCUUGUUGGUGAGGUAAUGGCUCACCAAGGCGUCGACGGGUAGCCGGCCUGAGAGGGUGACCGGCCACACUGGGACUGAGACACGGCCCAGACUCCUACGGGAGGCGGCAGUGGGGAAUAUUGCACAAUGGGCGGAAGCCUGAUGCAGCAACGCCGCGUGAGGGAUGACGGCCUUCGGGUUGUAAACCUCUUUUAGCAGGGAAGAAGCGAAAGUGACGGUACCCGCAGGAAAAGCACCGGCUAACUACGUGCCAGCCGCCGCCGUAA
rnacentral:rRNA from 1 species